rnacentral:rRNA from 1 species
GCGAGGCAGAGNAACCCCUAAAAAGCCAUCCCAGUUCGGAUUGCAGGCUGCAACCCGCCUGUAUGAAGUUGGAAUCGCUAGUAAUCGCGGAUCAGCAUGCCGCGGUGAAUACGUUCCCGGGCCUUGUACACACCGCCCGUCACACCAUGAGAGUCGGGAACACCCGAAGUCCGUAGCCUAACCGCAAGGAGGGCGCGGCCGAAGGUGGGUUCGAUAAUUGGGGUGAAGUCGUAACAAGGUAUC